rnacentral:tRNA from 1 species
GAGGGUAUAGCUCAAGUGGAAGAGUGCAUGCUUAGCAUGCAUGAGGUCCUGGGUUCCAUCCCCGGGACCGCCA